GAUGAACGCUCGCUGUGUGCCUAAUACAUGCAUGUUGAACGGGAUGUAGCAAUACAUUCAGUAGCGAAUGGGUGAGUAACACGUACCUAACCUACCUUUAAGACUGGGAUAACUAUUGGAAACAAUAGCUAAUACCGGAUAUAGUUAUUUAUCGCAUGAUGAGUAAUAGAAAGGAGCUUCACAGCUUCACUUAAAAAUGGGGGUGCGGAACAUUAGUUAGUUGGUAGGGUAAUGGCCUACCAAGACGAUGAUGUUUAGCCGGGCCGAGAGGCUGUACGGCCACACUGGGACUGAGAUACGGCCCAGACUCCUACGGGAGGCAGCAGUAAGGAAUUUUCCACAAUGAGCGAAAGCUUGAUGGAGCGACACAGCGUGCAGGAUGAAGUUCUUCGGAAUGUAAACUGCUGUUAUAAGGGAAGAAAAAAUAGAAUAGGAAAUGAUUUUAUCUUGACGGUAUACCUUAUUAGAAAGCGACGGCAAACUAUGUGCCAGCAGCCGCGGUAAUACAUAGGUCGCAAGCGUUAUCCGGAAUUAUUGGGCGUAAAGCGUCCGUAGGUUUUUUGCUAAGUCUGGAGUUAAAUGCUGAAGCUCAACUUCAGUCCGCUUUGGAUACUGGCAAAAUAGAAUUAUAAAGAGGUUAGCGGAAUUCCUAGUGAAGCGGUGGAAUGCGUAGAUAUUAGGAAGAACACCAAUAGGCGAAGGCAGCUAACUGGUUAUAUAUUGACACUAAGGGACGAAAGCGUGGGGAGCAAACAGG
rnacentral:rRNA from 1 species